rnacentral:lncRNA from 1 species
AUGCAGUCCUCCUCUCAGGCCUCGAAGCCACGGCGUUUUGACGCCAGCAGGCGGAACAUUUCCCAAGCUGGAUCCAAGGUUCAUGGUUCCAGUUUUCAGAGAGAGGAUAAAAACAUGAACACCAUCAACAAGACCUCGCCGAGGAGGAUCACUAAAGCUCCUCCUGCCCCGUCCAUGAUCAGGCCGGGUGUGCAGCCUCGAGCUCCGGCCAUCCAGUCCAGACUGAGCUCGCAAAAACAGGUUUCCAACGUCUCCAGAGGAGCUAAACCCAAACCCAAAAGCGCUCGUGCAACUACUGUAGUCCCAGCUGCAGCCAAAGCAGCACCUCCUCCUCCGCUCCCCAGUGUCCUCCCUCUUGACCCAAACUGCAAUGAGCCCAGCCUCCCGUGUCUGUGCUGCGAUGGACGUUCUCCGCAGGACAACAACAGCAUGUUCAACCACAACCACAACAACAACAACACCAUCUCUCUCAGACAGCAGAUGCAGUUGCCACCUCCUCCAGGCCCCCUAGCCCCGGUGCAAGAUGGGAAGAGGGCUAAGGAGCAGGUCCCGUCGGAGGCCAAGGCCCACAAGGAGCCUCCUGCCAACCUGGAGAAAGCAGCAGAAAAAGCAGGUGAAGGGGCCGACGUGGAUAACAAGAAGAAGGUCGAGGAAGAUGACGAUGAUGAGAGCAGUGGAGAUGUUGCUAUCGAUGAGGCAGACAGUGAUGACGAUGAUGAUGAUGACACUCUGGUGCCGUCCUGCUGUGACUGCCCCCCAUCUCUUUUGGAGUUCUCGCUCUCCUCGUCUUCCUCCUCAUACUCCACUUCCAUCAGCUCCUGCUCCGAUCUGGAUUCCGACUGUGCCGACCAGUCCGCCUCCAUCUGCUCCUCACACGAUCAGGACAAUCUGUUCAUUGCGCUGGACCCCAGGGAACACUGUCUCGAUCCAGUUCCGGAAUUCCAGCUUUCUGCCCGUUCACCUCCUUCUCUUUCUCUUAAUAAAAAUCCGUUCUCCCGAGCUUCCCGCUCUCCAAGUGCCGAUUACUCCCCAGAUGAGGGCUACCCCUCCGCACUCGACUCACCUUCUCCUGACUUCCUAGGACUCAAAGGUGACUCUGAGGUCAACAAGCUAGGUUUGCUUGACUUCCUGGAGUCCGUAGGGGAGUUUGGUAAAAUGGAGCGCUUCAGCCAGGUGAUCCAAGUGGCUCACUGGGAUCUGGAAGGGGAGCAGCACUGGGAUGUUCUGCGGGACCGUUUGGAUCACCUGGAUCGUCUGGAGAAGGUGAACAGGGAGGUUAAGCUUGCCUACAUCGCCAGACUCCAUGAGAAAGGUUUGGACCUUGGAGAUCUGGAGGAGCAGGACCUCACAGACGUCAUGGACGAAAUGGGAAACAUAGACAUUCCCUGGAAGUUGUACAAAAGCCAGAGUGGAACACUGAGGGACUCUCAGGAGUUUUCCGAUGCCGGAGUUGACCUGACUGCUCCGUCGGACUGCGACGAUCCACUUGUUCCUGACUCACCCUCCCCUGAGGAGCCUCCACCUAGACCACCAAAACCACCGGCACGUCAUGCCAGUGUGACCUCUGACCUUCACACCUACAUCCACAUCAGUAGAGAGAGCUCCUCCACAGGCGUCACCGCCUCCCCCACGCUGGUCACCUUCUCCCCUAACUCCUCGUCCCCCACCUUCACCACGUUCAGAUGUGAGAAGCCUCCCCCUUCGUCUCCACCGUCCGUCCCUCCUCUCCCCGCCUCCAAGCCGGUCUCUUACCUCACCCUCUACACCGCUCCUUCUCCACCUCCGCCCAUCGCCGCUCUUAUUCCUCCCAUUCCUCCACCCAGAAAACGGCACCUUGCCAGGAAGGAGGCCCAGCGCCUCGCUGCUCUUCAAGCUGAGCAGGAGAUGACCCCCGUCUCCCUUCCACCACCCACCACACGCCCCCCCCCUCUGCCUCCUCCGCCCGUUAUUUCAGUCACUUCCUCCUCCUCUCCACCUGCAUCACCACACCCACCCACCUUGCCCCCGCCCCCCUCCUUCCACACUUUAGAUGUGGAGAUUCGGAAGCUGCUGAUGCUGGCCGGACUGACCCAGGCGGAGCUGCUCAAGCUCAGCCCUGAGCUGGGCGUCUGUGUUGGGGGGCUGGAGGAGAAGGAAGCCGAUAAUCUUGUUACAUCCAGAUCUCUGGAGUCACGAGAGUUCAGGUUGCAAGACGGAGGGGAGGAGAGUGAACCUGGUGCAGGCCAGUGUGAUGGAACAGCAAAUACAGUCGAGGGAGGUGAAAAGGAGGACGAGAACAGCAGCGCACAAAGAACCACCUCGUUUACUGAGAUGGCGAGAAGAAGGAAGAGGAACACGAGUCUGAUGGCUGACCAUUACUACAGCUCAAGUUUUAGCAAUUCACACAAAGCCAUGAGCAUCGAGGCUUUCCAACGUCCUAAAGAGCUCCCCCCCAGUUCUCCACCGCCACCUCCUCCUCCUCGUCCUUUGCCUCCAAUCCCGCCUUCGCUGUCACCCCCAAAAGCCAGCACUUUACCAGCCAACUCUGAGCAGCCUGAGCGCUUUGAUUGGCUCAUAGCGUUCACACCCGAAGCCCCGCCCCAGCUCUCAGCCGCGGAGAAGAGAAAAUCUCACACGGAAACCCCCAAAAAGCCGACGUCAUCGGGCUCGCCUGCACGUUCCGGUCCAAGAGUCACGACCUUUAAAGAGCUGCGCUUCCGCAACAAGAGCGCCUCCCCUCCGACGAAGGUGAUAACUGAACCCGAGCCCGACCCCGCCAUCGUCACGCCCGAUCCAGACAUCCUCUACAACUUGAAGUGGAGAAGGGAGAAGGCAGGCAGCGAUGGCAGCCAGUGGGAGUACACCUCCCAGGCUCAAGCCCUGUUGAUGCAGCCGCCGCCAGCCCUCACCUCGAUGGCCGCCCUGCAGGAGAUGCUGCAGAGAGCCGACGCCGAGGGCAGGCAGCCUGAGCUGUGCCCGUCACGAGAGAUCUGCGACAGCAGCCUGUGGAGCACAGGCAAGGAGGAGGAGAGAGGAGAAGUUCAACCAGAGGUAAAAGAAGAGGAGACGGUGGAGGUGAGAGGCCAGGCUGACGGAGGGAGAACGCUCGAGUCAAGAACCACGGGUGAGUUUGAGCUUUGUGACGAGUCUUUGACAUUUAUGUUUGUCUUUAGAGGGUUAAUUCAUCCGUAUUUGGAUCCGGCUGCAGAUAGAAAACCAGGCUUGCUUCUUCAGAAAUAA